CUGGCUUAAAGGAGAGAGAGAGGGAGGGGGAGGGAGAGAGAAUGAGAACUACCUGAGCCUCAGCAGGGUCCAGCUGUCACCUGCUAGCUGUUAGGCCAUGUGAAGAGCUUUUUCCCACACUCUCAGUGGUCAUUCCAAGUGCGUUUAGGCAGGAAAAGCAAUGCAGGACGUCAUCAACGCUGUCUGGAGCGAGGAGUUGAGGUCGGGGAUCACCAGGCUUUCCCGACCCCGCCAAACAAAGAACAAUGGCAGGGACUAGAAGUAAAGGACAAAGACACAAGCCCGUCUCACUUAACUUCAGGGGCGGGUUCUUCAGGUUGGCCAGCAUCGUUUGCCAACCCCUCACCUAAGCUUCUCCCCAGGGGAAGGGCAGACAUCUUUGAAGAACCCAUAAGUCAUCUUUUGAAGUCGGCCUGACCUUUCACAAGGCUAUUUCAUUUCGACUCUCUCUGCUUUUGGCCUGAACCAACAUGCCUCUAUCUAGGACCAUUUCUGCUGCUGAUUAAAAUCGAUGACUACUUUGAAAAAAAUAAAUAACCAAAGUACGCACUUCCUUCAAGAUCUU